rnacentral:rRNA from 1 species
AUUCCUACGGGAGGCAGCAGUGAGGAAUAUUGGUCAAUGGUCGCAAGACUGAACCAGCCAAGUAGCGUGAGGGAAGACUGCCCUAUGGGUUGUAAACCUCUUUUAUCUGGGGAUAAAGUGAGCCACGUGUGGCUUAUUGCAGGUACCAGAAGAAUAAGGACCGGCUAAUUCCGUGCCAGCAGCCGCGGUAAUACGGAAGGUCCAGGCGUUAUCCGGAUUUAUUGGGUUUAAAGGGAGCGUAGGCCGCUUGGUAAGCGGGCAGUGAAAUGCAGAGGCUCAACCUCUGACUUGCUGUUCGAACUGCCAGGCUUGAGUACGCACGAGGUAGGCGGAAUUUGUGGUGUAGCGGUGAAAUGCUUAGAUAUGACGAAGAACUCCGAUUGCGAAGGCAGCUGACGGGAGCGCAACUGACGCUGAAGCUCGAAGGUGCGGGUAUCGAACAGGAUUAGAUACCCUGGUAGUCCCAGCCGUAAACGAUGGACGCUAGGUGUGGGGAGAUGUACUCUCCGUGCCGCAGCUAACGCAUUAAGCGUCCCGCCUGGGGAGUUCGGCCGCAAGGCUAAAACUCAAAGGAAUUGACGGAAU